CCUACGGGAGGCAGCAGUGGGGGAUAUUGCACAAUGGGGGAAACCCUGAUGCAGCGACGCCGCGUGUGGGAAGACGGUCCUCUGGAUUGUAAACCACUGUCCCCAGGGAGGAAGAUGACGGUACCUGGGGAGGAAGCUCCGGCUAACUACGUGCCAGCAGCCGCGGUAAUACGUAGGGAGCAAGCGUUGUCCGGAAUUACUGGGGUAAAAGGGAGCGUAGGCGGGAUGGCAAGUUGGGUGUUAAAUCUAACGGCUAAACUGGUAGUCGAACUCAAAACUGCUAUUCUUGAGUGAAGUAGAGGCAGGCGGAAUUCCUAGUGUAGCGGGGAAAUGCGUAGAUAUUAGGAGGAACACCAGUGGCGAAGGCGGCCUGCUGGGCUUUUACUGACGCUGAGGCUCGAAAGUGUGGGGAGCAAACAGGAUUAGAUACCCGUGUAGUC
rnacentral:rRNA from 1 species